rnacentral:rRNA from 1 species
GAUGAACGCUGGCGGCGUGCCUAAUACAUGCAAGUAGAACGCUGAAGCUUGGUGCUUGCACCGAGCGGAUGAGUUGCGAACGGGUGAGUAACGCGUAGGUAACCUGCCUCUUAGCGGGGGAUAACUAUUGGAAACGAUAGCUAAUACCGCAUAAAAGUCGAUAUCGCAUGAUAUUGAUUUGAAAGGUGCAAAUGCAUCACUAAGAGAUGGACCUGCGUUGUAUUAGCUAGUUGGUGAGGUAACGGCUCACCAAGGCGACGAUACAUAGCCAACCUGAGAGGGUGAUCGGCCACACUGGGACUGAGACACGGCCCAGACUCCUACGGGAGGCAGCAGUAGGGAAUCUUCGGCAAUGGGGGCAGCCCUGACCGAGCAACGCCGCGUGAGUGAAGAAGGUUUUCGGAUCGUAAAGCUCUGUUGUAAGAGAAGAACGAGUGUGAGAGUGGAAAGUUCACACUGUGACGGUAACUUACCAGAAAGGGACGGCUAACUACGUGCCAGCAGCCGCGGUAAUACGUAGGUCCCGAGCGUUAUCCGGAUUUAUUGGGCGUAAAGCGAGCGCAGGCGGUUAGAUAAGUCUGAAGUUAAAGGCUGUGGCUUAACCAUAGUACGCUUUGGAAACUGUUUAACUUGAGUGCAGAAGGGGAGAGUGGAAUUCCAUGUGUAGCGGUGAAAUGCGUAGAUAUAUGGAGGAACACCGGUGGCGAAAGCGGCUCUCUGGUCUGUAACUGACGCUGAGGCUCGAAAGCGUGGGGAGCAAACAGG